GACGAACGCUGGCGGCGUGCUUAACACAUGCAAGUCGAACGGAAAGGCCCUGCUUUUGUGGGGUGCUCGAGUGGCGAACGGGGGAGUAACACGUGAGUAACCUGCCCUUGACUUUGGGAUAACUUCAGGAAACUGGGGCUAAUACCGGAUAGGAGCUCCUGCUGCAUGGUGGGGGUUGGAAAGUUUCGGCGGUUGGGGAUGGACUCGCGGCUUAUCAGCUUGUUGGUGGGGUAGUGGCUUACCAAGGCUUUGACGGGUAGCCGGCCUGAGAGGGUGAACGGCCUCAUGGGGUCUGAGAUACGGACCAGUCUCGUACGGGAGGCAGCAGUGGGGAACAUUGCACAAUGGGCGGAAGCCUGAUGCGGCAACGCUGCGUGCGGGAUGACGGCUUUCGGGGUGUGAACCGCUUUCGCAUGUGCCGAAGCGUGAGUGACGGUAAUGGGUAAAGAAGCACCGGCUAACUACGUG
rnacentral:rRNA from 1 species